rnacentral:misc_RNA from 1 species
AAGGAGCAUCUAGGCCGCCAGACAUUGUCUGGUGGUCCAGGGCCAUUACGUCGGCAUACGUUCGACGGUGGUUGCUCAUGGGUGGAACGUUGAUUAUUCGGCACUCUUGAUCGUCUUCUCCUUCCAGUACUGUCCUUCGGGGCGUGGAACGAUGAGGGAAGCGGUGAAGGGUGUCGGGCACGCUGUUGGGUGUCUGAGGGUCCGGCCGAUUGUUGGUCGCCUUCAGUGCCGGCCCCAGUGAACUCGCCCUGUAGGGGUGGGGUGGUGGGUGGUUGGUCGUUGUUUGAGAACUGCACAGUGGACGCGAGCAUCUGU